rnacentral:rRNA from 1 species
GACGAACCGUGCGAACGUUGUUCGGAAUUACUGGGCGUAAAGGGCGCGCAGGCGGUCCUUCAAGUCAGAUGUGAAAGCCCCGGGCUCAACCUGGGAACUGCAUUUGAGACUGGAGGACUUGAGGACGGGAGAGGAGAGUGGAAUUCCCAGUGUAGAGGUGAAAUUCGUAGAUAUUGGGAAGAACACCGAUGGCGAAGGCAGCUCUCUGGACCGUUACUGACGCUGAGGCGCGAAAGCGUGGGGAGCAAACAGG